AUGGAGACCGUCGUGAAGAAACCGGAGAGCCACUUCGUGCUGGUCCACGGCCUCUGCCACGGCGCGUGGUGCUGGUACAGGCUGGCCACCAUCCUGCGUUCCGCCGGCCACCGCGUCACGGCGCCCGACCUGGCCGCGUGCGGCGCCAGCCCGGUGCGCGUCGACGAGGUGCGCUCGUUCGCCGAGUACAGCCGGCCACUGACCGACGCCGUCGACGCGGUCCCGCCAGGCGAGAAGGUGGUCCUCGUCGGCCACAGCUACGGCGGCUACAGCCUUGCGCUGGCCAUGCACGCUCACCCGGACAAGGUGGACGUCGCCGUCUUCGUCGCCGCGGCCAUGCCGGCCGCCGGGUGCCCCAUGUCACAUCUACUGUCGCAGAUCAUGGAGGAAACGGCGCCGGACGCCGCCACGGACAGCGUGCCCGCGGUGACCGGCGGGGCGGAAACGUUUCUCCUGGGCCCCGAACGCCUGUCGCGGCGUCUGUACCAGCGAAGCCCGCCCGAGGACCUGGCGCUGGCGACGGCGCUGGUGAGGCCGGCGCGGUGGUUCCUCGACGACGCGGCGAUGACGGAGAGCGUCCUGACCGCCGACAGGUACGGCGCGGUGAGGCGCGCGUGCGUGGUCACCGAGGAGGACGCGACGUGGGCGGCGGAGUCGCAGCGCCGGAUGGCGUCGCGGUGCCCCGGCGUGGAGGUGGUGGCCGUCGAGGGGGCCGACCACAUGCCCAUGUUCUCCACGCCCCACCGACUCGCCGCGAUCCUCAUGGAGAUCGCCGACAAGUACAUCUGA
rnacentral:rRNA from 1 species